rnacentral:rRNA from 1 species
GACGAACGCUGGCGGCGUGCUUAACACAUGCAAGUCGAACGGAAAGGCCCUGCUUUUGUGGGGUGCUCGAGUGGCGAACGGGUGAGUAACACGUGAGUAACCUGCCCUUGACUUUGGGAUAACUUCAGGAAACUGGGGCUAAUACCGGAUAGGAGCUCCUGCUGCAUGGUGGGGGUUGGAAAGUUUCGGCGGUUGGGGAUGGACUCGCGGCUUAUCAGCUUGUUGGUGGGGUAGUGGCUUACCAAGGCUUUGACGGGUAGCCGGCCUGAGAGGGUGACCGGCCACAUUGGGACUGAGAUACGGCCCAGACUCCUACGGGAGGCAGCAGUGGGGAAUAUUGCACAAUGGGCGGAAGCCUGAUGCAGCAACGCCGCGUGCGGGAUGACGGCCUUCGGGUUGUAAACCGCUUUCGCCUGUGACGAAGAGUGAGUGACGGUAAUGGGUAAAGAAGCACGGGCUGACUACGUG